UUUGUUUAUCACUAGACUAAAUGCUUGCAUGUAAAGAAGCUUCAAGUUGUGAAUUGUGAAAUGAAUCAGGAAUUUCAGUGAAUACAGCCUUGCUUCACAAAAAGGAUGAUUUUCAGUGAGAUACGUCUGUACUUUUGAAAAGAACACCACAUUAUAACAGUGUAUUGCUAUCUUAUAAUGAAUAGGACACAUGAGCAGGAUUUGGGGAAAAAUAAUGUUUAGAAUAUUUUAUGAUUAUGAGGGGUAUUGAAAGGGAAAGUUACUUAGAGAAUAUUUGGAUUUUAGUAGAGAAAAAGGUACUUUUGGAUACAGAAAAUUGAUGCAUAUAUCUCUGAUUCCAGAUAGAAUUGAAACUGGACUCAAAUGACUCAAGUCCCAGAUCAGGAAAGACUGAGAUACUUCCUUAAGAGUUACUCCAUUGAAAGGCAUGAGAAGAAGCACUCACAUUUUGAUUUUCACAGUGCAAAAAGCAAGAUGUACUACUGCAUUCAUUGAAUUUAGACCAUGUUUGGUGUAAAUAAGUAAUUAUCGAUUCAAUAUAAAAAGUUAAGCCUUUGGACAGAUUUAUGGAAUCUUUAGAAUAUCUACUUUUAAUGCCAGAAAUGUGAUACAGGUGCGAUAUAUUUGUAUUUCUGACAGGAAUAGGAUUGAGACUAAAUGGAAUGUGAGAAUUUUGUAAGGAUUUGAAGAAUCCUUAAGGAAGAAGAAUGAACUGCAUCAGCAACUAUGUGCUUAAUCUGUGAAUUUGCCAGAUUUCUAAAUAAAUUGGGGGGGGGGGGGGGGGGGGGGGGGGGG
rnacentral:lncRNA from 1 species